CGAAACUCCUCCCGUUGGGACAUGGAGCGAUAAAGCCCCCCAAAACUGGUCCGGAUCUCCGCCUGCACACACACAGUUCAAACACAACUCAGAACUGCAAGAUUUCUAAACUGUCAAAAGGUCUUUUUUAAGGCUUGAGCAACAUCAUUCACAUUGAAUUAUAGUGACCCUACUAGAGCAGCACAAAGAAGAAAUGAUGCAUCAAAUCAGGCCUUGGCACACAGGCUUGGAUGAGCCGUCGGGUGGUGUGGAGAUUCCAGCCUUUUCUUUAAACCAGAACCAAAAGAGGUCCAUAAAAUUGCAAAAGAUCGAUUUAUCAGAUGUUAAAAAAAAGUAAGUUAGGAGAAUAAAACUGAUGUGGGACACCA